rnacentral:rRNA from 1 species
ACUGCUCAGUAACACGUGGUUAACUGCCCUAAGGACUGAGAUAAUCCCGCGAAAGUGGGCGUAAUAUCAGAUAGGCGAUAAUUGCUGGAAGGCAUCUUCGCUUAAAGCAGCAAUGUGCUUUAGGAUGGGACUGCGUCGGAUUAGCUUGUUGUUGAGGUAAUUGCUCAACAAGGCUGUAAUCCGUACGGGUCGUGAGAGCGAUUGCCCGGAGAUGGCUUCUGAGACAUGAAGCCAGGCCCUACGGGGCGCAGCAGGCGCGAAAACUUCGCAAUGCACGGAAGUGUGACGAGGGGAUCCUGAGUGAUGCCGCAAUGCGGUAUCUUUUGUUUACUGUAAAAAGGUAAGCGAAUAAGAGGUGGGUAAGACGGUUGCCAGCCGCCGCGGUAAUUCGAAGAAUCGAAACAUAUACGAUUCAUUCUGGCAGAGCUAUCUUCUAAAUUAGAUAGACUAUUGAAGCGCGAAACGGUUCUUCGAACCGUAAAUAACCGCGCCUCGAGUGGUAGUCACGUUUAUUGGGCCUAAAGCGUCCGUAGCCGGUUUGUUAAGUCUUUGGUGAAACCCGUCAGUAAACUGACGGAAGUGCUGGAGAUACUAGCAGACUCGGGACCGGGAGAGGUUGAAAGUAUUCCACGGGUAAGAGUAAAAUCUUUUAAUCCGUGGAGGACUACCUGUGGCGAAGGCGUUCGACUGGAACGGGUCCGACGGUGAGGGACGAAAGCGUGGGGAGCAACUGGGAUUAGAUACCCCAUUAGCCCACGCUGUAAACGAUGCCCUUUUGGUGUCGCACAAUCUUCGAGAUUCUGCGGUGCCGUAGCGAAGGUGUUAAAAGGGCCGCCUGGGGAGUACGACCGCAAGGUUGAAACUUAAAGGAAUUGGCGGGGGAG